rnacentral:antisense_RNA from 1 species
UGUGGGAGCGAGCCUGCUCGCGAACACGAUGGGUCAGUAGAUACAAAGGCGCCUGAUACGCCGCUAUCGCGAGCAGGCUCGCUCCCACA